AGUCGAGCGAGCGGAACUAACAGAUUUACUUCGGUAAUGACGUUAGGAAAGCGAGCGGCGGAUGGGUGAGUAACACGUGGGGAACCUGCCCCAUAGUCUGGGAUACCACUUGGAAACAGGUGCUAAUACCGGAUAAGAAAGCAGAUCGCAUGAUCAGCUUUUAAAAGGCGGCGUAAGCUGUCGCUAUGGGAUGGCCCCGCGGUGCAUUAGCUAGUUGGUAAGGUAAAGGCUUACCAAGGCGAUGAUGCAUAGCCGAGUUGAGAGACUGAUCGGCCACAUUGGGACUGAGACACGGCCCAAACUCCUACGGGAGGCAGCAGUAGGGAAUCUUCCACAAUGGACGCAAGUCUGAUGGAGCAACGCCGCGUGAGUGAAGAAGGUUUUCGGAUCGUAAAGCUCUGUUGUUGGUGAAGAAGGAUAGAGGUAGUAACUGGCCUUUAUUUGACGGUAAUCAACCAGAAAGUCACGGCUAACUACGUGCCAGCAGCCGCGGUAAUACGUAGGUGGCAAGCGUUGUCCGGAUUUAUUGGGCGUAAAGCGAGCGCAGGCGGAAGAAUAAGUCUGAUGUGAAAGCCCUCGGCUUAACCGAGGAACUGCAUCGGAAACUGUUUUUCUUGAGUGCAGAAGAGGAGAGUGGAACUCCAUGUGUAGCGGUGGAAUGCGUAGAUAUAUGGAAGAACACCAGUGGCGAAGGCGGCUCUCUGGUCUGCAACUGACGCUGAGGCUCGAAAGCAUGGGUAGUGAACAGGAUUAGAUACCCUGGUAGUCCAUGCCGUAAACGAUGAGUGCUAAGUGUUGGGAGGUUUCCGCCUCUCAGUGCUGCAGCUA
rnacentral:rRNA from 1 species